AGUGAACGCUGGCGGUAGGCCUAACACAUGCAAGUCGAACGGCAGCACAGUAAGAGCUUGCUCUUACGGGUGGCGAGUGGCGGACGGGUGAGGAAUACAUCGGAAUCUACUUUUUCGGGGGGGAUAACGUAGGGAAACUUACGCCAAUACCGCAUACGACCUACGGGUGAAAGCAGGGGAUAUUCGGACCUUGCGCGAUUGAAUGAGCCGAUGUUGGAUUUGCUAGUUGGCGGGGUAAAGGCCCACCAAGGCGCCGAUCCGUAGCUGGUCUGAGAGGAUGAUCAGCCACACUGGAACUGAGACACGGUCCAGACUCCUACGGGAGGCAGCAGUGGGGAAUAUUGGACAAUGGGCGCGAGCCUGAUCCAGCCAUACCGCGUGGGUGAAGAAGGCCUUCGGGUUGGGAAGCCCGUUUGUUGGGAAAGAAAAGCAGCAGGUUAAUACCCCGCUGUUCUGACGGUACCCAAAGAAUAAGCACCGGCUAACUUCGUG
rnacentral:rRNA from 1 species